GUCUAUGGCCAUGCCACCCUGAACAAGCCUGAUCCCAUCUGAUCUCAGAAGCUAAGCAGGGUCUGGCCUGGUUAGUAUUUGGAUGGGAGACCACCUAGGAAGACCAGGUGCUGUAGGCA
rnacentral:rRNA from 1 species